rnacentral:lncRNA from 1 species
AGAAUUUUGCCGUAUAGAGAUUGCACAUCUGCUAUGAAUCUGACCAUUUAAAUUUUUGCCUAUAAAUAGGAUAUUCUUGCAGUUUAAGAGCCAGAACGCAGAAAGAUUUAUUAAUAUUCUAAAACCGUUAAUUUGUAGUUAAGAUGGCUGCUUUGCCCACAAAGCAUAUUGUUUUGCUAGUUCUUUUAGUGUUUUGCAUCGUCUCGACCUGUUCUCAAGGUAGGAUUUAUGUUUCUUUCUUUGUUCACUUUCCCCCCGUUUUUUUUUCUAGGUUUAGAGAACUAAUUUUUGAAAUGGGAUUUCAUUUCUGUUUGUCUUAAUUUCUGCAGCAAGGCGUUUAAAAAUGGAGAGUCCUCGACCAGUUAAUACCGAGAAUGAUAAAGGAAUUCUUGGAACAAAACAAGAACUCCCUGAUGUUGAAGAUUUAGCAGCAAUGGAUUACACUCCUGCGAGAAAGAAAACUCCAAUUCAUAACUAGAAUGGUGAACUUUGUUAAACAAAUUAGUCUCCUUUUGCUACACACAUGUAUGCUGCCUAUAUAUAUGUAUAGAAGUGCAUAAUAUAUUGGAUAUAUAAUAAGAGAUGUAUAUCCACAGAGACUGCUUAGAUUAGGAAUAGGGAAUCCCCCAGUUAGGGUUUUUGAGAUAUGUUGUCUCUUGUGCACAACCUGACUGUGAAUAUAUUACAGAAAACAUAUAUAUUUCUAAUAAAAAUGUUGGGCGUUAUGCAAUAUUUUAGCCUCAUUUUGUUCAUAUAUACAUAUAAUUUAGAAAUAGCUACUAUAUUUUG